rnacentral:piRNA from 1 species
UGAAGGCUGCACAUUUGGAAGGAAUCCGCUC